CCUACGGGGCGCAGCAGUGGGGAAUAUUGGACAAUGGGCGAAAGCCUGAUCCAGCCAUGCCGCGUGUGUGAAGAAGGCCUUCGGGUUGUAAAGCACUUUCAGUGGGGAAGAAAGCCUUGGGGCUAAUACCCUCGAGGAAGGACAUCACCCACAGAAGAAGCACCGGCUAACUCCGUGCCAGCAGCCGCGGUAAUACGGAGGGUGCGAGCGUUAAUCGGAAUUACUGGGCGUAAAGCGCGCGUAGGCGGUCUGAUAAGCCGGUUGUGAAAGCCCCGGGCUCAACCUGGGAACGGCAUCCGGAACUGUCAGGCUAGAGUGCAGGAGAGGAAGGUAGAAUUCCCGGGGUAGCGGUGAAAUGCGUAGAGAUCGGGAGGAAUACCAGUGGCGAAGGCGGCCUUAUGGACUGACACUGACGCUGAGGUGCGAAAGCGUGGGUAGCAAACAGGAUUAGAUACCCCAGUAGUC
rnacentral:rRNA from 1 species